CCUACGGGCGGCAGCAGUGAGGAAUAUUGGUCAAUGGGCGGAAGCCUGAACCAGCCAAGUCGCGUGAGGGAAUAAGGCCCUACGGGUCGUAAAUCUCUUUUGCCGGGGAGCAAGGGCCGGGAUGAGUCUCGGUUCGGAGAGUACCCGGAGAAAAAGCAUCGGCAAACUCCGUGCCAGCAGCCGCGGUAAUACGGAGGGUGCGAGCGUUAUCAGGUUUUAUGGGGGUUAAGGGGUGCGUAGGUGAGAUAUUAGGUCACCGGUAAAAAUUCGGGGUUCAACCUCGUACGGCCGUUGAAACUGGGGGCCUUGAGUGGGCGAGAAGGAAGCGGAAUGCGUGGUGUAGCGGUGAAAUGCGUAGAUAUCACGCAGAACCCCGGUUGCGAAGGCAGCCUUCCGGCGCCCUACUGACGCUGAGGCACGAAAGUGCGGGGAUCGAACAGGAUUAGAUACCCGAGUAGUC
rnacentral:rRNA from 1 species